GUAAAUAUAGUUUAUAAAAACAUUAGAUUGUGAAUCUAAAAUCAGAGCAUUAAUCUCUUAUUUACC
ensembl:Mt_tRNA